rnacentral:lncRNA from 12 species
AUGCGUCCUUGCUUUGCUCUGAGCGCUUGUUGUCUCGAUCGACACCCAGCAUUAGAAAUAAAUAAUCGCGACAGGACAGGGACGGCCGGGCUGCGUCCAGCGCGGAGCGCGCGGGUGGCUGCAAGCGGACAGUCGGCGGGGACCCGGGCGCCGGCCGACCGCGGACGAGCCCCGGUGGCUCGCCCCCCCCACCCCGCCUCGCUCCCUCCCCCGAGCAGCUCCGCUCGGCCCCGCCCGGUCGCUCAGCCGCGCUGGGAACGGGCCGGCGCGGGGUGGCUCCGGGGCCCGGGCCGCUGGCCGCAGGGGCUUUCCGGCCGCCGGCUGGGUGCCGGCGAGGGGCCGGGGCGGGGACGGGCGAGCGCGCUCUCGGGUUUGGCUUUCCAGAGCCUGAUUCACUGCAGAGCAUUUCAGAAAUUCUUUUCCUGGGGGGUGGGGGAUGCUGGACGCAGAAGGGGGCGGCGAGGCCAGCGCAGCGGGGCGUUCUCGCCGCGCGCGUUCCGGGCAGCGUGCGGGGUCCCGGGCCCCGGCCCUCCAGGCGGGGUCUGCGGGGGAGCGUGCCCUGGGGGCGCGGGUUCCGGCGCGGCCGGGGACCCCAUCCCCUCCCGCGGGGGCGGGCGCGGCCAUUUCGCAGGGAGCGGGUUGUGCGGCGGCGCCCGAGCAGCCCGCGCCCCCGUGCGCCCCUGGCCGCAGCCCGGCCUGCAGGCCCCACGGCGUCCGCGCGCGGGGAGACGGCGCCGGGGAAGGCGCUCCGAAGGGGGUGCUCGUCCCCCGAGGGCGGCAGAUGCGGCCGUGCGGCUUUUAGUCCUUUGGCUAAACCCGAAGGCGACCUGGAGGAGCCCCAGAGCGAGGGGCGCGCGAGCCACGCCAAGGGGGGACGGCGGCUCUGGGAGCGGGCCCCGCCAGCCCGGCGUUCCCAAGUGCGGUUCCUUCCAAAAUGCCCUAGUCAUGGUGUCCCCGGCCCGCGCGCAGCCCCCGGCGCUCCGCCGCGCUCGCUCCAUUCCCUCCCCCAGCGCGGCCAGGCCCGGGGCUGCAGCGCCGACCUCCGCCGCGGCCUCUCCCGAGCUGGGGGGAGGGGUCCUGCCGGCGGGGGCUCCGGGGCUCCGAGGCUCCGGGGCUCCGAGCCCAGGCCGUGCGCCCCCGCCCCGCGCCCGCCUCGGCCUGGCUUCCGCAGGCCGGCGGGGAGGCGCUGCGCGGCCUGUCCCCGCGAGCAGAAAGCACAAAGGGGAGCCCCUCCAGCCCAGGGAGGGUCGCGGUUGCACAGGCGGGCGACUGCAGUUCUCCCCCCAGCUGCGUAAAAAGUCUGGCGGGCUGCGGGGCCCGCGAUCCGCCCGCCGGGGGUGGACCAUGACCGCUGCUGCCGGCCGCCCAGCCCGCGUCCCGAGAACCGCGAGCGGCUCGCGCUUUCUCGGCAGAACUGAAAUCUCUUUACUGGAAAAAAGAAAUCCCACAAAACAAAAGCGUAGCGCACACGACUCCCCGGAGGCCGCCGGGCAGCCCUGCACCCCCGCGGGCGCAGCCCAGGGCCCUCGGCGCCUUUGA